ACACUCUUGUUUCUCUUCAGAUCGUAUAGGUAUUUUCGCCUUUUAUAAAGAUUCCGUGGAGAGCGAACAGCAAAGAGAUUUUUAGCAAUUUUUUGAUGCCCUGUUAAUCUGUGGGGCU
rnacentral:snRNA from 1 species